rnacentral:rRNA from 1 species
ACGGGUGAGUAACGCGUGGGAAUCUACCUUUUGCUACGGAAUAACGCAGGGAAACUUGUGCUAAUACCGUAUGUGUCCUUCGGGAGAAAGAUUUAUCGGCAAGAGAUGAGCCCGCGUUGGAUUAGCUAGUUGGUGGGGUAAAGGCCUACCAAGGCGACGAUCCAUAGCUGGUCUGAGAGGAUGAUCAGCCACAUUGGGACUGAGACACGGCCCAAACUCCUACGGGAGGCAGCAGUGGGGAAUAUUGGACAAUGGGCGCAAGCCUGAUCCAGCCAUGCCGCGUGAGUGAUGAAGGCCCUAGGGUUGUAAAGCUCUUUCACCGGAGAAGAUAAUGACGGUAUCCGGAGAAGAAGCCCCGGCUAACUUCGUGCCAGCAGCCGCGGUAAUACGAAGGGGGCUAGCGUUGUUCGGAAUUACUGGGCGUAAAGCGCACGUAGGCGGAUCGAUCAGUCAGGGGUGAAAUCCCAGGGCUCAACCCUGGAACUGCCUUUGAUACUGUCGAUCUGGAGUAUGGAAGAGGUGAGUGGAAUUCCGAGUGUAGAGGUGAAAUUCGUAGA